UACGUAGGGGGCAAGCGUUGUCCGGAAUCAUUGGGCGUAAAGCGCGUGUAGGCGGCUUGGUAAGUCCGCUCUGAAAGCCCGGGGCUCAACCCCGGGAGGCGGGUGGAUACUGUCAAGCUCGAGUCCGGAAGAGGCGAGUGGAAUUCCUGGUGUAGCGGUGAAAUGCGCAGAUAUCAGGAGGAACACCAAUGGCGAAGGCAGCUCGCUGGGACGUGACUAACGCUGAGACGCGAAAGCGUGGGGAGCAAACAGG
rnacentral:rRNA from 1 species